rnacentral:rRNA from 1 species
UGGCGGCGUGCCUAAUACAUGCAAGUCGAGCGGACAGAUGGGAGCUUGCUCCCUGAUGUUAGCGGCGGACGGGUGAGUAACACGUGGGUAACCUGCCUGUAAGACUGGGAUAACUCCGGGAAACCGGGGCUAAUACCGGAUGGUUGUCUGAACCGCAUGGUUCAGACAUAAAAGGUGGCUUCGGCUACCACUUACAGAUGGACCCGCGGCGCAUUAGCUAGUUGGUGAGGUAACGGCUCACCAAGGCGACGAUGCGUAGCCGACCUGAGAGGGUGAUCGGCCACACUGGGACUGAGACACGGCCCAGACUCCUACGGGAGGCAGCAGUAGGGAAUCUUCCGCAAUGGACGAAAGUCUGACGGAGCAACGCCGCGUGAGUGAUGAAGGUUUUCGGAUCGUAAAGCUCUGUUGUUAGGGAAGAACAAGUGCCGUUCAAAUAGGGCGGCACCUUGACGGUACCUAACCAGAAAGCCACGGCUAACUACGUGCCAGCAGCCGCGGUAAUACGUAGGUGGCAAGCGUUGUCCGGAAUUAUUGGGCGUAAAGGGCUCGCAGGCGGUUUCUUAAGUCUGAUGUGAAAGCCCCCGGCUCAACCGGGGAGGGUCAUUGGAAACUGGGGAACUUGAGUGCAGAAGAGGAGAGUGGAAUUCCACGUGUAGCGGUGAAAUGCGUAGAGAUGUGGAGGAACACCAGUGGCGAAGGCGACUCUCUGGUCUGUAACUGACGCUGAGGAGCGAAAGCGUGGGGAGCGAACAGGAUUAGAUACCCUGGUAGUCCACGCCGUAAACGAUGAGUGCUAAGUGUUAGGGGGUUUCCGCCCCUUAGUGCUGCAGCUAACGCAUUAAGCACUCCGCCUGGGGAGUACGGUCGCAAGACUGAAACUCAAAGGAAUUGACGGGGGCCCGCACAAGCGGUGGAGCAUGUGGUUUAAUUCGAAGCAACGCGAAGAACCUUACCAGGUCUUGACAUCCUCUGACAAUCCUAGAGAUAGGACGUCCCCUUCGGGGGCAGAGUGACAGGUGGUGCAUGGUUGUCGUCAGCUCGUGUCGUGAGAUGUUGGGUUAAGUCCCGCAACGAGCGCAACCCUUGAUCUUAGUUGCCAGCAUUCAGUUGGGCACUCUAAGGUGACUGCCGGUGACAAACCGGAGGAAGGUGGGGAUGACGUCAAAUCAUCAUGCCCCUUAUGACCUGGGCUACACACGUGCUACAAUGGACAGAACAAAGGGCAGCGAAACCGCGAGGUUAAGCCAAUCCCACAAAUCUGUUCUCA